rnacentral:rRNA from 1 species
AUUGAACGCUGGCGGCAGGCUUAACACAUGCAAGUCGAGCGAGCGGCGGACGGGUGAGUAAUGUCUGGGAAUCUGCCUGAUGGAGGGGGAUAACUACUGGCAACGGUAGCUAAUACCGCACACCAUCAGAUGAGCCCAUAUGGGAUUAGCUAGUAGGUGGGGUAAAGGCUCACCUAGGCGACGAUCCCUAGCUGUUCUGAGAGGAUGACCAGUCACACUGGAACUGAGAGACGGUCCAGACUCCUACGGGAGGCAGCAGUGGUGAAUAUUGCACAAUGGGCGAAAGCCUGAUGCAGCCAUGCCGCGUGUGUGAAGAAGGCCUUCGGGUUGUAAAGCACUUUCAGCGAGGAGGCGUUACGCGCAGAAGAAGCACCGGCUAACUCCGUGCCAGCAGCCGCGGUAAUUC